GAUAUGAUUGGCUCUGUGGGUGACUGGCCACGCCCCUGGAUUAGUGAGCUGGUGGAUAAUAGCAGGAGGUAGAGGAGGGUGGCUUGUGUUUGAAAUUUACAGGAAAGAUACUCAGAGUGUGAAGAAGAGAUUGUAGGGUAGUCCAGUGUGCAAAAGGGGACGUCCUGUGGGCUCCUUUGUGGUAAUACUACAGUACCUUGUGGUCUAUGGAACAGAGAUUCUCAUAGGCUUCCUCUGAAGGAAGGAUGGAUGAGUUCAUCUGAAAAGAGGUAGUGACUGUGUUUAAGAUCGCCGUGGGAAGAGCAACAGAACGGUGGACUGUGCGGGCUUCCUUUUCAGACGUCAUGCACUUGCGCACCAGCCGUUCCCGUCUUCUGUCCUGGUCUGUGGGUGGUCGCAGCACAGGGCGGUCUGCUGCCAUUCCGAAGGCCGCAGCCUCCGGUAGAAGUCCCUUAGCUUGGUCUGCUGCUUUAACCCACCCUGCACCGUCAACCUCCUAAAACAGCACGUUCCUGCAGCUGCCCCUGAGCGGCAGUACCCCCGUUUCAGCUCGGGGAGCGCUGUAACAACAACGUGAUCUUCAGUUGAAAGGAAAUUAAGUAUCGCCUCCACAGACAAAAAAAAAAAGCACACGCUUAUCCAUUAACGUGUGACGUUAUCUUAACUACAAAUCCAAAUCAAAAACAACAGUGACCGUUUCAGCGUUGGUCUUCGGGAGGAAGAAUCGUAUUUUGGCGUUUUAUGUACCUUUUGUGCAAGAUGUUGGAGCUGAAACACGUCCAAUGGGCGGGGCUACAGUCGUGGGUUUACUUGAAUAUAGCGAUGCAUUUUUUUUAAUUACUCGAUAAACUGUAAUAAAACAGGCAUGUAACGAAGUAGUAAAAGGGAGAAUUGUGUGCAAUAUCUUUAAAGUCAAAGCUAUACCCUAACCCAACGGCGACGGUCAAAAAGUCUAAAAAGGGGGCCAGAUUUUGUUUGCAAUACGAAACUACCGAUGUUGUGGAAUUUCUUUUGGACAAUGAAUUAGUUUUAACAGUCCCCUAGAUGAUGAAUAAAAGAUGGCAUUUUUCAAACCAGAGCGAAGGCAUCUGUUUUAGGUUUCUGUAACAGCCGGAGGCUCAUAACA